rnacentral:rRNA from 1 species
CAGUAGCCGCGGUAAUACGUAGGGUGUGAGCGUUAAUCGGAAUUACUGGGCGUAAAGCGUGCGCAGGCGGUUUGUUAAGACAGAUGUGAAAUCCCCGGGCUCAACCUGGGAACUGCAUUUGUGACUGGCAAGCUAGAGUCUGGCAGAGGGGGGUGGAAUUCCGCGUGUAGCAGUGAAAUGCGUAGAUAUGCGGAGGAACACCGAUGGCGAAGGCAGCCCCCUGGGCCAACACUGACGCUCAUGCACGAAAGCGUGGGGAGCAAACAGGAUUAGAUACCCCAGUAGUCCCUGUCUCUUAUAC